ACAAUAUCAAACUUAAGAAUUCUGAACAACAAAGAAUUUCGGAAUCCCUUACCAACAAUCAGAAAAUGACGAGAAGCGAAAACAGCAUGUAAACAAGCCAGCAAGCAUAGGCGAUUAACCCGCGAUGCUCAUCCCCGCAGGACGCCAGCUCCACGAGCAGCCUGGUGCAGGCCCGCGUAGACCACAGCACGAACACCGCCCCCAUCCCGAAGAUCACAACCCCACCGUGCGGCACGAAGAGAGACGCCGCUGAGAAAAUAACCAUCGGAAUCAUACAGUACCCUACCAGACUGAGGCAGCGGUACAGAUCGAG
rnacentral:misc_RNA from 1 species